rnacentral:lncRNA from 1 species
UGAUCUGCACAGAACAUCAAAGGAAAAUUAUACUUUCCACAAAUCCCUUAAAGCUUAUGAAGCGCUGAAGACAAAAAAACACUGACACUGCAUGUUCGCCCUGCUUGUUUCAUAUAGUGCAAAAUGCUGUACAAAAACAGAACAACUGCUGCUUUGCUGAGGGUUUAACUCUUUGGCUGCAGUUGUGACUCCAGAGCGCCAAGUUUCGACUGACUGAUCAUUUGGACAUACAUACCCCAACUGCAACCACAAGCAAGAACUGCCAUUAGUGCCGACAGAGACAUAGGCCCAAGAACCUGCAUACCAAUAGACCUUUUUCAAGCACACGAGCGCCACCAAUGGGUGCGCAAGCGCUCAUGGGAUGUGUACGCUGCAGCAGCCGCCGC